UACGACUACAUAUCAGGCAUAUCAAUAAGCGGAGGAAAAGAAACUAACAAGGAUUCCCUUAGUAACGGCGAGUGAAGCGGGAAGAGCUCAAAUUUGAAAUCUUCAAGGUUCUACCUUGACGAAUUGUAGUUUAAAGAAGUGUUUUCUGUUAGAUGAGUAGCAAAAGUUCCUUGGAAUGGGACAUCAUAGAGGGUGAGAAUCCCGUAUUUGGUUAUUCAUUCUAGCUUUGUGAUACACUUUCAAAGAGUCGGAUUGUUUGGGAAUGCAGUCCAAAAUGGGUGGUAAAUUUCAUCUAAAGCUAAAUAUUGGCGAGAGACCGAUAGCGAACAAGUACCGUGAGGGAAAGAUGAAAAGAACUUUGAAAAGAGAGUUAAACAGUACGUGAAAUUGUCAAAAGGGAAGCGUUUGACACCAGUGUUGUUUUUCCGAAAAUCAAUUACGAAUGGCUUGAUUUUGUGUUGUAUUGACCUUAUCAGCUUUCUUCACUUUUUUCGAGUCUUUCUUAAUGCACUUUUCGGUUAACAAGUCAACAUCAAUUUCUUUUGUUGUAAAAGAGUAUUCGGAAGGUGGCUUUCUUUUCGGAGAAAGUGUUUAUAGCCCUAUACUUCUACAAUCGGAGAGAUUGAGGUCUGCAGCGUAGAUCCUUCGGGGUUAGAUACACUUGUGCUAAGUUGUAGCUUUUCAUAGACAACUUGUUGACUAUGUUUAGUCAUGCGGCUUACUCGCUUGUGCUAUUUUACCUACGCUUAGGAUGUUGAGUAGCGACAUACGCAC
rnacentral:rRNA from 1 species